AUAAUACUCCAUAGAUUAGAGACACUGGAAUGUUCUGUAGUCGAAAGUUCUGGCGCCUUAGGAUGGAUCUGCGGUCGAUUAGGUUGUUGUUGGGGUAACGGCCCAACAAGCCUGUAAUCGAUACGGGUUGUGGGAGCAAGAGCCCGGAGAUGGAAUCUGAGACACGAUUCCAGGCCCUACGGGGCGCAGCAGGCGCGAAAACUUUACAAUGCAGGAAACUGUGAUAAGGGAACUCCGAGUGCCCGUAUACGCGGGCUGUCCAGGUGUUUAAAAAUCAUCUGAAGAAAGGGCCGGGCAAGACCGGUGCCAGCCGCCGCGGUAAUACCGGCGGCUCGAGUGGUGGCCACUAUUAUUGGGCUUAAAGCGUCCGUAGCUGGACCGAUAAGUCUCUUGGGAAAUCCGCCGGCUCAACCGGCGGGCGUCUAAGGGAUACUGUUAGUCUAGGGACCGGGAGAGGUGAGAGGUACUCCGGGGGUAGGAGUGAAAUCCUGUAUCCCCGGGGGACCACCGAUGGCGAAGGCAUCUCACCAGAACGGCUCCGACAGUGAGGGACGAAAGCUGGGGAGCGAACCGGAUUAGAUACCCGGGUAGUCCCAGCCGUAAACUAUGCGCGUUAGGUGU
rnacentral:rRNA from 1 species